rnacentral:rRNA from 1 species
AUUGAACGCUGGCGGCAGGCCUAACACAUGCAAGUCGAGCGAGCGGCGGACGGGUGAGUAAUGUCUGGGAAACUGCCUGAUGGAGGGGGGUAACUACUGGAAACGGUAGCUAAUACCGCAUACCAUCAGACUUGCCCCGAUGGGAGUAGCUCGUAGGUGGGGUAAUGGCUCACCUAGGCGACGAUCCCUAGCUGGUCUGAGAGGAUGACCAGCAGGCCUGGAACGGAGACACGGUCCAGACUCCUACGGGAGGCAGCAGUGGGGAAUAUUGCACAAUGGGCGCAAGCCUGAUGCAGCCAUGCCGCGUGUGUGAAGACGGCCUUCGGGUUGUAAAGCACGUUCAGCGGGGAGGCGUUACCCGCAGAAGAAGCACCGGCUAACUCCGUGCCAGCCGCCGCGGUAAUUC